UAAGGAAUAUUGGUCAAUGGACGCAAGUCUGAACCAGCCAUGCCGCGUGAAGGAUGAAGGUCCUCUGGAUUGUAAACUUCUUUUAUCUGGGACGAAAACGGGAUUUUUAUCUCAAUUGACGGUACCAGAGGAAUAAGCACCGGCUAACUCCGUGCCAGCAGCCGCGGUAAUACGGAGGGUGCGAGCGUUAUCCGGAUUUACUGGGUUUAAAGGGUGCGUAGGUGGGCUUAUAAGUCAGUGGUGAAAUCUCCGAGCUUAACUUGGAAACUGCCGUUGAUACUAUAGGUCUUGAAUUAUCUGGAGGUAAGCGGAAUAUGUCAUGUAGCGGUGAAAUGCUUAGAUAUGACAUAGAACACCAAUUGCGAAGGCAGCUUGCUACACAAUCAUUGACGCUGAGGCACGAAAGCGUGGGGAUCAAACA
rnacentral:rRNA from 1 species